AAGUCAUUGGCCCGAAUUCACAAAGGUGGUUUUUGCAGAAACCAUGGUUUCAACCGUGGGUUUUGCUGAUUUUGGUAUUCACAAAGGUGGUUUCAAAUGAAACCAUGGUUUCAACCGUGGGUUUUCGGCAUGAUUUUGAGUCAACUGUUUUAGGUGGUUUCAAACCGUGGGUUUUAGAAAAACCAUGGUUUUUAGGCACAUUGACCAAUCACAGAACAGUAUUUCGGUACAUUGCUGAUCAAGUGGAGAUAGACGACGAUAAAUAGAUUUACACGAAAAAAAAAGAAGCGAAGCGUCAACAUCGGUAUUUGCCGAGCUGUGCGAACAUCUAAAUUUUCGAAUGGAUGAAAACAUCUUACAACAUGUGCAGGCUGUCCUGAAAGAAUAAGGAGGAUUGUUAUAGAGGAAUAUGCCAACCAGAACUGCAAUUAGGAGUCAUUGACAGGAGGAACCUUUGUGACUUGUACGAGGAUGAAGCUUUCAAGCACACCAUUGCUUUUAAAAGAGACCACACGCUACCUCAUCAACAUGCUUGAAGAUGAUCUGAGCCUGAGGAGGGACAAAGGGCCUAGUGAUCUACUACCUAUGUAUCUGCAAGUAUUGACAAUUCUGCAUUUGUAUGCUAGUAAGGUGCAACUUCAGGGAAUACAGGGUGAUGAGACAUCAGUGUUGCAAUCAUCUGUUUGUUGAGUGAUCAGAUGUUUCGCAAGCCAUAGCAUGAAGAAAGGUUUUGUGAGAACUUUAACAACCAGAGAUGAGAUUGAGGCUACCCAACAACAACUGUAUGAAUACCAGUACUACAGGAAUUCAAGAGUCAUAGGUGUGAUCGAUGGGACCCAUGUCUAUAUAAGAUAAUAAGAAUUCCUGGAGGGAAUCGUGCUUUGUACUUUCUUGAAGGGCAAGUCCACCCCAACAAAAAGUUUCUAUGAUAUAAUAGAGAAAAGUCCAAUGAGCAUAACACUGAAAAUUUUUCUUGAUCCAUUUAAAUCAAAUUUUUGUUCAGGUGGAUUUGCUCUUUAAUGAGAAGAACAGGUAUUUGUGUGUUUCCUUUGUAAAAUAGCACAGGAUUACUUACAAUUUCACAUGAAUACAAAGGAAAAUCCUGUAAUCUAUUUUUCAACUAUUUAAAAUUAACCUUUCUUUAUCACUAUCGGGUGUUUUUCAAGGAAUACAUGUAUUUUCAAUGAUUUUUUUUAAUUUAAAGAACACAGUCCUGGAUUAAAAAAAAAAACACAAUUUAAUCACAAAGCAUCAAAUAUGUAAAUACCUCAUUUAUUUUUCUUAAAAUGCAUGCAUCUGAUUACUGUUUGAUGUACAGUACAUCAAAAAUGUCUUUCAGCUUCCAUUGUAAUGAAUUGAUAAGAAAAUGAGAUGCAAACAAAAUAUGGAAGCACAUUUUCCAGCAUAAAUACAGAGCAAUAAAUAAAUAUUAUUUGUAUGUACAAGAAAAUAUAUCAUACCUGCGUACAUGUAUAAAUAUAAUCCAUUUUCACAUUGUAAAUUGUCAUAUGGCUUUUUGCACUUGUAUUUCGUCUGUUUCAGUGCAUUUAUAAUGUAUAAAUAAACUAGUUUUAGCACAAUUAAUUGCUUGAAACCAGUUGAUCUUUCUUAAAUAGGUAAAAUCAUCAUAGACAGUUGGUUUGUACAGUCAUCAGAAUGUUGGUAUAUUAGAAUGGAGAGUUGUUCAAGUGUGACAUGGCACGUCUUACCAUUAGGAAGAUCUUUAAUUCUCUAUAGUACUGCAGAUCUCACCAUUCAAAUACUAAAAAAAUGUCUUUUUGUUUGGACAAUUUAAUCGGUUUCAUCACUUUUUUCUUUAACUUUCAUGUUUUUACAAAUGCUGAAUCCUUGAGCUUUCAUUCUCCUUUAAGAAAUAAAAGUCAACACCCUGUGGAAAUUAAUAAUGAAAUUAGUAGUAAGCAAGGAAGUACAAAUGUUAAUCAUCUUUUACUUAGUUACCAUAUCUAUAGCUGUUCAAAUAUUUAUUUCUGUAUAUACAGUAAUAACACACAUUAAUUGGUUAAUUACAGCCAAUAAUAGUGUACAUGUGUUGAUAUUAAUCUUCCUUUUCAGUCAAAUCAAGAGCCUCUUUGUACUUGACCUCCAAGGUACUUUUUUCCAAGUUCAUAAUUUCCAUCUUAAGAGCAUGUUCCUCUCUCAUCAUUUGGAUCUUCAGUUGAUGCUCCUCCUGUAGGGAUUUCAUUCUUAAGGCAUGUUCCUCCUUGGAUAUUUCGAUCAACACUUCCUCCGCUGUCAUCUUAGCCUUCUUCCGCCCUUGACCUUGUGAGGUUGAAUUUCUCUUUGCAGGUGUUACACUUCUCUGAUUUUCUUCAAAUCUGUAUAAAUUCAGUUUUAAAAGAAAAUAGUUUGUUUCAUAUUGUAUCACUGGAGCUUCUCCCCUCCAUUUUUGGAUAUGCACACAACCUUUAAUCCUAAAUAGACUGGGCUAUUUCGACGCCUAAGAAGACUGGGGGGGGGGGCUGAUUCAGCCCCUCCCCCUUAUGAUCUCGGCCGUCGAUUGCGGCG